UUGGCAUCAUUGUAAUGGGUUCUGAUGCAGCCCAGAAUAAUUUUAAUCACAUUGAAGAGUUUCAGCCAGUUCAAACAGUAUCACUUAAUACAAUAAAAAAUAUAAAUAAAUUAAAACCCAAAAAUUGUCACAACAAUAAUUGGAUUAAGACACUUCAUACUGCUGUUGAAGUUACAAAGAAUGUAUAAGGUCAUUGAAAACAAAAUUGAUCAUGCUAAAUGAUUAUCCAUCUUCUGAUGAAUUAAAUGCAGCUGAUAUGCAUAAAAUUUCAAACAGUAUUCUCAAGGAAACACGCUUCAUUUACUUUGCAUGUAAGAAAUAUUAUUAAAUUUAUUUAUUCAAGCUGCAUAUAAUAUUAAUUGAUAUUUUAUUUUCCAAGUGGAACAAAAUCCUUGACAACAAUUGACACUACUGAGCUGAACAAGAGUGAACAAAUGAUUCUGAAUUUAGUUAAUCAAGUAAUUGACCAAAAAAAAUUUUAAUAAAUUGUAAAUAUUCAAAUAAUCAUAAUGUUUUUUUAUCAACAGGUUGCUGGUGGAUAUAUGACAUUCAAUCAAACUUUACCUUCUGCUAGAAUAUUUGGAGUUAAAGAUAAAAAAGCAAUGGCUUGGAAAUGUGAUCUCGAAAUACGUGAUAUCAAGAUAAAAAUAAAUGCAUACAUUUUGGCAAAAGAAAAACCAUCAAAUCCACUAUAGAAAAAAGUUGAAGUUGACUCUGAUUUUAAUCAAGAUACAAUUGUUUUUAAAAAAGAUAAACUUGUUGAUAGAGAAAAAAAUAUUGUCACUCGAGAUGAUUGUAAUGAGGGCUAUCUGUAUGAUCAAGAAUUUUAUUCC